ACGCUCUCAGUUGAUAAUACAGUUUCAUUGAUACAAAAUCAUAUAAGAACAAGUAUUAGUCUCAGAAAACAAAGACGUUUAAUUGUAUAAAUGAAGGAAAAUUGAAGAACACGUUAAAGAUAGUGAAAUGUAAUGUUUAAUACUUGAAAGAAAUAAACGACUGGAUUCAAACGAAAGUGAGAUAAAUACUUUGAUAUUACGCCGGUAUAACGAUUUUCUUUUUCAUAUUUCAUUUACUCCAUAAUUCUUCUUCAAUACAAGGUCACAAAUUAUCAUUGUCCUUUGAGUUAAACUCUGUGAGUUAAACUCUGUGAGUUCAAAAUGAAUAAAAUAGAAUUCUUUUGCGAAGCUUUGAAACGAAUUCGUGCAGAAACUGAAAAUGGUGCUGAUCGAAUAACCGAAGAAGGUGUACUGCCAACAACAACAAAUGGAACGCCAAUACGGAAAUUGUUUGUUUGUAAUGUAGCACAAAGGACAACGUUUAAAGAUUUGAAUGCAUUAUUUUCUGAAUAUGGAAAAGUUGAGAGUGUUUAUUUGAAUACAACAAACAGUAGAAAUAAUUAUGCAUUUGUUACAUUUAGUACAGUUAUGGGUGCAAUCAAAGCUAGAGAAGCCGGAAGCAACAAACGUAUUCAUUUACAUAGUAGAGAUUUAAAAGUGAUGCCAGCAGAUCCUUGGCACCAACCGGAUAAAAUACAAUUUAAAAGUAAUAAUUCAACAAAGGAUUCGAAUAAAUCUCGUGAGAUGUCUUUGAUUGAAGGAACUGAUCAAAACGCUGUAGAAAAUUCUACAAUCGCUUCGAUCGAUGUAUUAAAUGACGAUUGUUUAAAGCACAUUUUUCUUUAUUUACCAAUUAUGGAUAGAAUUGCCAUAGAAAGAGUAUGCAAACGUUGGAAGGAUGUGUCAAAAAAAUCGUGGUAUAAUGUUAAAAAAUUAGAUCUUUCUAAUCAUACGUGGGGAAUAUUAUCACACGAUAAAAAAAUUAAUACAUCUGAUUUACGCCAAGUAUUAUUGAGAUGCGGUAGAUUUGUAACUCAGAUUGAUUUUCCGUAUAAAUAUCCGACUUUAACGCGAAGUACUUUGUCCAUCAUUGCCAAAUUGUGUCCUAAUUUAGAAAUAGUUGAUUUUAGUGGAAUCGAAAUGUCUUCUUCCGGAGUAGAAUUAUUUUCUGAUAAUUGUACAAAUAUAAAAAAGCUUACUUUAGCAUUUUACACGGCUUCUUCUCCUAAUAUAAUUGAUAGAGAUUUAACAAUAUUAUUUCAUAUGUCCAAACGCUUAACGUACGUAAGUCUUCGUGAAAUGAGAAUAUCGGGCAAAUGUUUAGAGUUUCUUUCAUCGGAUACAUUAGAAGAACUUGUUUUAAUUUCUUGUAAUAACAUCACUGGACGAUAUUUUCUCAAUGCCUUAGAAAACCUGAAGAAUUUAAAAAAAUUGGUUAUAAAUAAGAGCUUAUUUCUCAUCGGUGUUUCACUUGAAGCAAUGGCGCAAUAUUGCACAAAUCUUCAACAAUUCGAGCUAACAAAUGUAGUAGAUGUUUGUGAAUGUUAUUUCGUAAAUUCAAAUAUAUUGCCUUUAGCGAAAUUUGUUAAUCUUGAAAUUCUAAAACUUUCAACAAAUACUUUUGUAGACGACUUUCUUUUAAUUGCUUUGGCCUCAUCAUGUACAAAACUGACCUAUUUAGAUAUUGAAAACUGCAAUAAAGUUACUGAUAGGGGUUUACAAGCUGUGGCAACUUUACCAAAAUUAGAAACUUUAAUAAUUAACAAUUUGAUCUAUAUAACAGCUGUAGGUUUAGACAAUAUGUGUAGCAUAAGACGACUAGAAUGUAAGUAUUGUAAUUCGGUACAGGAUACAGGCUUAGCUAUCCUUAUUCAUGCAUCGCCUAACUUGGAAUUACUCGAUCUCACUGGUUGCAACGGUAUAACCAAUGACACUAUUAACGUAGCUGAAUAUGUUACUAGUCGUAGAUCCAAUAAUAUCGUUUUAAAGAUGUACAUUGGUGAAACAAGCGUGACGCGUCAUAAUCAUACAUCUCCUAAUUUGAUGUUACUUCGUAUAAAAACAACAGAUUGCUAGUCCUAAUUGGAAAUGUUUCUAAGUUACUGCCAGUUGAUGCCUCGUUAUCGUUAGCCUAAGGCUCCAAUGUUCAACAAGAUCUGAUUAAUCUCCUAUUACAUUCCUCCAUUAAAAUCAUCAAGCGCCAGACUACACAACAAAAAUUGGAACAACAACAAAAUGAAAAGGAAAAACUGGCCGUUCAAUGCCAAUAAAUUGAACAACUUUGAUUACUAAUUUAUAUACAUUUAUAGUAUUUGUACAAGCAUUUAAAAAGAAAAACGAAAAACAAACAAAAAUUAUUUGUUACUUACAAUUAAACAUCAUUAUUGUGUAAUAUCUAUUAAAAGAAAAGUGAAUAAAAAAGUUAUUUAA